CCUACGGGGGGCAGCAGUGAGGAAUAUUGGUCAAUGGCCGUAAGGCUGAACCAGCCAAGUCGCGUGAAGGAAGAAGGAUCUAUGGUUUGUAAACUUCUUUUAUAGGGGAAUAAAGGUAUCCACGUGUGGAUAUUUGCAUGUACCCUAUGAAUAAGCAUCGGCUAACUCCGUGCCAGCAGCCGCGGUAAUACGGAGGAUGCGAGCGUUAUCCGGGUUUAUUGGGUUUAAAGGGUGCGUAGGUUGGUUUUUAAGUCAGCGGGGAAAGUUUGUGGCUCAACCAUAAAAGUGCCGUUGAAACUGGAAGACUUGAGUGUGUUUGAGGUAGGCGGAAUGCGUGGUGUAGCGGUGAAAUGCAUAGAUAUCACGCAGAACCCCGAUUGCGAAGGCAGCUUACUAAGCCAUAACUGACACUGAAGCACGAAAGCGUGGGGAUCAAACAGGAUUAGAUACCCCUGUAGUC
rnacentral:rRNA from 1 species